rnacentral:misc_RNA from 1 species
UACAGAGGGUGCGAGCGUUAAUCGGAAUUACUGGGCGUAAAGCGUACGUAGGUUGUUUAUUAAGUUAGCUGUGAAAUUCCCGGGCUUAACCUGGGGUGGUCAUCUAAUACUGAUAGACUUGAGUACAGUAGAGGGUAGUGGAAUUUCCGGUGUAGCGGUGAAAUGCGUAGAGAUCGGAAGGAACACCAGUGGCGAAGGCGGCUACCUGGACUGAUACUGACACUGAGGUACGAAAGCGUGGGUAGCGAACAGG